UAAGGGAUAUUGGUCAAUGGGGCGGGGAGCCUGAACCAGCCAUGCCGCGUGAGGGAAUGAGGCCCUACGGGUCGUAAACCUCUUUUGCCGGGGGAUAACGGGCGCCACGCGUGGCGCCGUGAAGGUACCCGGAGAAUAAGCAUCGGCUAACUCCGUGCCAGCAGCCGCGGUAAUACGGAGGAUGCGAGCGUUAUCCGGAUUUAUUGGGUUUAAAGGGUGCGUAGGCGGGCGUCUAAGUCAGCGGUGAAAGUUCCCGGCUCAACCGGGUCAGUGCCGAUGAUACUGGGGGUCUUGAAUGCGGUCGAGGCCGGCGGAAUGUGGCGUGUAGCGG
rnacentral:rRNA from 1 species